CGUGAGGACUUUGACAACCCCAUCUGAGAGGCUUGGAGACAGCCAGGACGGCAGGUGGUGGAAGCUGGAGUGGAUGAAUGUGGAGCUGGAAACACACAGCAGGUCAGUCAGGCAGCAUCCGAGGGGCGGGGAAGUUAACGCUUCCAGCCGAAACCCUUCGUCAGGCCUGGGGAGGGGAGCCCAGAAAUAAAUAAAGUGAGGGGAGUGAGUAGGUGAGAUGGAGAUAGGUGGAUGCAGGUAGGGGAGCACUGUCCAACCACAAUAACCCCUUACCUGCAUCACCAGCUUCAAAAUCUCUCCACCCCCAACCUGUCCAUCUUCCUACUCACCUAUCCUUCCCACUGACCAACCACACUAACCCCCUACCUGCAUCUACGUAUCUCCAUCUCACCUACACUCCCCCACCCUCCUCUCUCUUUUUAUUUCUGGGUUCCCCUACCCAGCCCUAGCGAAGGGUUUCGGUUCGAAAAGUUGACUUCUGUGCCCCUCGGAUGAUGUCUGACCUGUGCUUUUCCAGCUCCACGUUUAACGACCAUGUGUGAGAGGCGUAGGAUUUGUUUUUCCAGCUAGUUUCAUGUGUGAAAGCACAGAAAAUUCAGCAGCUGCAGCAGAAAGAGAAAUAAUGUUUCAGGUGCAUGGUGAGCAGGCAUGACAGAGGGGAGAGCCCAUGAGGCUGCAGGCAGGCCAGCAGGGGGCAUGCAUAGACUUCAACCUCAGUGGAUGCAAUGCUGGAGUAAGUGACUUAGUCACACACUGCCAGGUUGUAUUUUUUGAUGUGGUUACUGCAGUAGCUGAGUUGCAGUGUACAUUUUCUUCUGGUGCAUGUGAGAUCAGCCAAGACAACCUUAGGACUUCGCUGUCAGUAAGUGGUAGCCAGCAAAUGGGGAAAGACAUCUGCUUAGGGUACUGGAUUGGCUUUAAGGUUCGAAGUGAAGAGUGGAUCCUGUCCAGCGUCAUAUGUCAGCAAUGGGGAGGAAGCAUGUGAUGGACAGUAUUGUGAAAUACUGUGUACAAACAUUGAUAACAUUAAAAAUAAAAGGAUGACAACUUAAA